UCAAGUGAAGAAGCGCAUACGGUGGAUGCCUUGGCAGUCAGAGGCGAUGAAAGACGUGGUAGCCUGCGAAAAGCUUCGGGGAGUCGGCAAACAGACUUUGAUCCGGAGAUGUCUGAAUGGGGGAACCCAGCCAUCAUAAGAUGGUUAUCUUGUACUGAAUACAUAGGUGCAAGAGGCGAACCAGGGGAACUGAAACAUCUAAGUACCCUGAGGAAAAGAAAUCAACCGAGAUUCCCUUAGUAGUGGCGAGCGAACGGGGACUAGCCCUUAAGUGGCUUUGAGAUUAGCGGAACGCUCUGGAAAGUGCGGCCAUAGUGGGUGAUAGCCCUGUACGCGAAAAUCUCUUAGUCAUGAAAUCGAGUAGGACGGAGCACGAGAAACUUUGUCUGAAUAUGGGGGGACCAUCCUCCAAGGCUAAAUACUACUGACUGACCGAUAGUGAACUAGUACCGUGAGGGAAAGGCGAAAAGAACCCCGGAGAGGGGAGUGAAAUAGAUCCUGAAACCGUAUGCGUACAAGCAGUGGGAGCCCACUUUGUUGGGUGACUGCGUACCUUUUGUAUAAUGGGUCAGCGACUUAUUUUCAGUGGCGAGCUUAACCGAAUAGGGGAGGCGUAGCGAAAGCGAGUCUUAAUAGGGCGUCUAGUCGCUGGGAAUAGACCCGAAACCGGGCGAUCUAUCCAUGGGCAGGUUGAAGGUUGGGUAACACUAACUGGAGGACCGAACCGACUACCGUUGAAAAGUUAGCGGAUGACCUGUGGAUCGGAGUGAAAGGCUAAUCAAGCUCGGAGAUAGCUGGUUCUCCUCGAAAGCUAUUUAGGUAGCGCCUCAUGUAUCACUGUAGGGGGUAGAGCACUGUUUCGGCUAGGGGGUCAUCCCGACUUACCAAACCGAUGCAAACUCCGAAUACCUACAAGUGCCGAGCAUGGGAGACACACGGCGGGUGCUAACGUCCGUCGUGAAAAGGGAAACAACCCAGACCGUCAGCUAAGGUCCCAAAGUUAUGGUUAAGUGGGAAACGAUGUGGGAAGGCUUAGACAGCUAGGAGGUUGGCUUAGAAGCAGCCACCCUUUAAAGAAAGCGUAAUAGCUCACUAGUCGAGUCGGCCUGCGCGGAAGAUGUAACGGGGCUCAAACCAUACACCGAAGCUACGGGUAUCACCUUCGGGUGAUGCGGUAGAGGAGCGUUCUGUAAGCCUGUGAAGGUGAGUUGAGAAGCUUGCUGGAGGUAUCAGAAGUGCGAAUGCUGACAUGAGUAACGACAAUGGGUGUGAAAAACACCCACGCCGAAAGACCAAGGUUUCCUGCGCAACGUUAAUCGACGCAGGGUUAGUCGGUCCCUAAGGCGAGGCUGAAAAGCGUAGUCGAUGGAAAACAGGUUAAUAUUCCUGUACUUCUGGUUAUUGCGAUGGAGGGACGGAGAAGGCUAGGCCAGCUUGGCGUUGGUUGUCCAAGUUUAAGGUGGUAGGCUGAGAUCUUAGGUAAAUCCGGGAUCUUAAGGCCGAGAGCUGAUGACGAGUGUUCUUUUAGAACACGAAGUGGUUGAUGCCAUGCUUCCAAGAAAAGCUUCUAAGCUUCAGGUAACCAGGAACCGUACCCCAAACCGACACAGGUGGUUGGGUAGAGAAUACCAAGGCGCUUGAGAGAACUCGGGUGAAGGAACUAGGCAAAAUGGCACCGUAACUUCGGGAGAAGGUGCGCCGGUGAGGGUGAAGGACUUGCUCCGUAAGCUCAUGCCGGUCGAAGAUACCAGGCCGCUGCGACUGUUUAUUAAAAACACAGCACUCUGCAAACACGAAAGUGGACGUAUAGGGUGUGACGCCUGCCCGGUGCCGGAAGGUUAAUUGAUGGGGUUAGCUAACGCGAAGCUCUUGAUCGAAGCCCCGGUAAACGGCGGCCGUAACUAUAACGGUCCUAAGGUAGCGAAAUUCCUUGUCGGGUAAGUUCCGACCUGCACGAAUGGCGUAACGAUGGCGGCGCUGUCUCCACCCGAGACUCAGUGAAAUUGAAAUCGCUGUGAAGAUGCAGUGUAUCCGCGGCUAGACGGAAAGACCCCGUGAACCUUUACUAUAGCUUUGCACUGGACUUUGAAUUUGCUUGUGUAGGAUAGGUGGGAGGCUUUGAAGCGUGGACGCCAGUCUGCGUGGAGCCAACCUUGAAAUACCACCCUGGCAACUUUGAGGUUCUAACUCAGGUCCGUUAUCCGGAUCGAGGACAGUGUAUGGUGGGUAGUUUGACUGGGGCGGUCUCCUCCUAAAGAGUAACGGAGGAGUACGAAGGUGCGCUCAGACCGGUCGGAAAUCGGUCGUAGAGUAUAAAGGCAAAAGCGCGCUUGACUGCGAGACAGACACGUCGAGCAGGUACGAAAGUAGGUCUUAGUGAUCCGGUG
rnacentral:rRNA from 1 species